AUGCGUAAUGACGUCGACGCGGCGUUGCCGUGACUCCUCGCCUAUCUCCGUGGCCUCCUGCACUGCUAGAGUCUGGCCAUAGGAGGAGGUGUCGAGCGGCCUGUUUUUUCUUAGCGGUUUGCUUUUUGUUUUUUCUUUCUUUGGGAACCGCGGUUGUUUAAAAGCCUGUGGGAACCUGGAAAGGAGCUCUCUCCUUCGAGUGUUUAAGUCCGAGAUGGACAAAGUAUGUGCUGUUUUCGGAGGCUCCCGAGGCAUUGGCAGGGCCGUGGCCCAGUUAAUGGCCCGGAAAGGCUACCGACUGGCGGUCAUUGCCAGAAACCUGGAAGGGGCCAAAGCCGCCGCCGGUGACCUCGGCGGAGAUCAUUUGGCAUUUAGCUGUGAUGUUGCUAAAGAACAUGAUGUUCAAAAUACAUUUGAAGAGAUGGAGAAACACUUAGGUCGAGUAAAUUUCUUGGUAAAUGCGGCUGGUAUUAACAGGGAUAGUCUUUUAGUAAGAACAAAAACUGAAGAUAUGGUAUCUCAGCUUCAUACCAACCUCUUGGGUUCCAUGCUGACCUGUAAAGCUGCUGUGAGGACUAUGAUUCGACAACAGGGAGGGUCUAUAGUUAAUGUAGGAAGCAUUGUUGGCUUAAAAGGCAAUUCUGGCCAGUCUGUUUACGGUGCCAGUAAAGGAGGAUUAGUUGGAUUUUCACGUGCUCUUGCUAAAGAGGUAGCAAGAAAGAAAAUUAGAGUGAAUGUAGUUGCACCAGUGUUUCACUCUUGUUACCCAGGCUGGAGUGCAGUGGUGCGAUCUCGGCUCACCGCAAUAUCCACCUCUGGAGUUCAAGUGCUGCCUCAGUCUCCUGAGUAGCUGAGAUUACAGAUGGAGUCUAGCUCUGUCACCCAGGCUGGAGUGCAGUGGUAUUAUCUUGGCUCAUUGCAACUUCUGUCUUCUGGGUUCAAGUGAUUCUCCUGCUUCAGCCUCCUGAGUAGCUGGGAUUACAGAAUGAAUCUCAAGAACAGUGUCCAGAAGGAAGAUGGAAAAAGGGGAAUAAGUGUUACUCUAAGAAGUCCAGGGCAGCAUGGUACCUGAUUAGCUGUCUCCUCUUCUGGCUCCUGAAUACUGAAGACAGUUGCACUGUCAGCACCUAGCAGUCGACGAGCUAUUCUUUCUUCAUAUGUUAACCUCUAAACAAAGUAAGCCACAAAAAAUACAAAAUUAGAAAAAAAAUCACAAACAUAUAUUGCCUUAUGAAAAAGUAAAAAACAAAACACACUUGA